GACCUGUGACCUGGGAACCCCCAGGCAGUUAGAACUGAACUCAGACACGUCACCCCCAUGAAAGCCACAGCUCCAUCACUGCACUGUGGAUAUGGUUGUAAAUAAUCCCUGCUCAAUAAAUCAGGGUGACAAAUGACUGCUCUUCUCUCUCACUGACGCCCACCACCACCCAUGUAUUACCUCAUCACUCUCUUUUCUUACAGUUGUGCCUUCUUGCCAAGAGCUCCUGGUUUUUUUUCUGCUGUUCCAGGGGAAAGCCUUCAGGGAUUGUGCUCCCUUCCCCACACAGAGGUGCCCACAGCCAGAUGCAGCAGGGCCCAGACUGAGUCUGGGGAGGAGACCAGCCAAGGCAGAUCUCUUCAGAUAGGCAGCUGACCUUCUUGGCAGCUCCAGCCUGAAGAUAACCAAGUGGAGAGACCAGGGAUACCAUGCAAGAUCUUUCCUCAGCAAAUAUGGGGUGCUGCUUGGCUGAUGGAAAGGUGCCUUUAAGGAAAAGUGGUGUAACUCUCCUGAUGUAAUCAUUACAUAAGGAUUUCAUCAAAAUGACUGCUGCGUUUACAAAGGCAUCAGUAAACAGAGAAUACCCCUGACAGGUCAGAAGUGAUAACAUUUUCCUGACGCAGCACAUAAAUUGCCAAAGAGGCAGGUCUCAUCCCCACCCAAUGAGACAGAAUUGAAGAAAACCAUUUCUGCAGUUCCAGUUGGUGUCCUUCGCUCCACCAGGAUUCCGUGGGAUGGAGCCCAACACCUUUCGGGAAGUCUCCUCAUGGUUGUCCUCAGCUCUCUGGCAGCUUCCCCUCUCUUCCAUGACCACGUGCCAGCACACAGCCUUUUGCACAAGCAGUUGCCAUCACCUGUGCCUGGAAAAGGAAUUCCCCCAUCCCCACAUCCCGCUGUGUUUGCCGCAGUGCAGGGUUUCCACCAAGGCAGGCCACAAGUCCUGCUGCUGGAAGUUGCAGUCCAAGGCUUCCUGAGAAGCUGAGAGCCUGGUCUCACACUGCAGCCCCCAAACCUUGCCAAGCUGUGCUCCCAGUGCCACUAAUGGCUUAUCUCCCAGUUGCAACUACUUAGGAGGUGCAAGUGGAUUUGUACAUCUUGCGUUCCCUUGGAUGGGUCGGAGCCCCUGGCUGCAAUCCCAGCAUCUCCCACUGGCUGACUGGAGACAUCCAUCCUGCUCCACCACAGGAGAGGCCAUUCCCUGUCCUGUUUUUAUCAGACAUGCCAGAGUUACUGAGAUAACAGAAAAUAAGACAGAACUGGAGACCACACCAGACAUGAGUCACGCUGGGGAUAUUUGAAUCAGUGGAGCUCCCCUCACUUCCAUAUCCCAUGUUGGGGGCAUGUUCAGCUCUUCCCAAAGCAUUUGUCCCACAGUAAGGCAGAGGAAUAAAUGUAUAUAAAUAAUGUAAUACCCACCACUAGUUCUUGAGAUACUUGAAUGGCAUUUCAAGGCUAGAGCUUGGGAUUUUGUUUGGAUGGAGAACAUUGCUCCUCUGUUUGCUUUUUUAUUUAAAUGAUCACAGAAUGAGAUAUUAAAGUCUUGUCUACACUGGAAAAAAAAAUAAAAUAAACUGGUUUAUAUCACAAAACCAAAGCAGACAGCUUCAUGCAGACACCACUAUGUGACAUUAGAGUCUUUUAUUGAUUUCACUUACACCUCUUGGGAAUAGCUCACAUUUAAAGUCAAAUAUAAAAGGCCAUUUUUAUACUGGAAUAUUUCUGUAGAGAGGAGAUGAUGGUGUAACUGCACCACGUAUAUUAUAAGGAACUUCUAACACUUUGAUAAGUAGACAAGGUCUUUGAGAUUGCAUGAGGGAGUGAUUCCAGAUAUGAAUCUUGGCCCAAAAACAGGCUUGAGGCUUAUUCCUACACAUCAGGGUUCAGGCCCUCAGCUGGGGUAAGCUGAUGCUACUCCAUUGAUUUUUGAAAAACUAAACCAAUUUCCAGCAGAGGAGAAUCUGCUCCAGAUUUCCCAGCUGCCCUAUCAAAAAUCUUCUCAGAGUAUUGACUGGGGAAAGAAAACAGGCCUCAGCCUGAUAUGAAAGAACAUAAUAGACCUUUAAUUUAAUUGACU